UACGUAGGGACCGAGCGUUGUCCGGAAUCAUUGGGCGUACAGAGCGUGUAGGCGGCUAUUUAAGUCCUGCGUGAAAUCCUGCGGCUCAACCGCAGACGGUCGUGGGAAACUGGAUGGCUAGAGUGCGGGAGAGGAGAGUGGAAUUCCCGGUGUAGCGGUGAAAUGCGCAGAUAUCGGGAAGAACACCCGUGGCGAAGGCGGCUCUCUGGAACGCAACUGACGCUGAGACGCGAAAGCGUGGGGAGCAAACAGG
rnacentral:rRNA from 1 species